rnacentral:sRNA from 1 species
UUACAGGGCUCGGAGUCCAGCUACCUGGACCGCACGGAGCAGCUGCAGGCGGUCCUGUGCAGCACCAUGGAGAAGAGCGUGCUCGGCGGCCAGGACCAGCUGCGCGUCCGUGUGACGGAGCUGGAGGACGAGGUGCGCAACCUGCGCAAGAUCAAUCGGGACCUGUUCGACUUCUCCACGCGCUUCAUCACGCGGCCGGCCAAGUGAGGCCCGGAGACCCCGACCCGAGGCGCCCAGGCCUGAGCGCCGCACCUCCCAGCGACUAGAGCCCGCAGGCGUGGCCCCCACCAGCCCAGCCUGGACUCUCAGUUCUGUGUCGUGUUCGGGGUUUUCCUUUGUGACUGGGCCGUCUUGGUGUCUCGCGGCACACGUUACAUUGGUGCUAGUCUGUUUUUAACAAAAGAGGAUGAAAA